rnacentral:tRNA from 1 species
GGGGCCCUAGCUCAGUAGGAAGAGCGCGUUGUUCGCAAUGACGAGGUCGGCGGUUCGAACCCGCUCGGCUCCGCCA